GGGAUCUGCUUACAAUGCAGGUUUGGAUUCAGCAGUUCUGGGAAGGGCCUGGGAUUCUGCAUUUCUAACAAGUUC
rnacentral:pre_miRNA from 14 species